rnacentral:rRNA from 1 species
UACGUAGGGUGCGAGCGUUUGUCCGGAAUUAUUGGGCGUAAAGAGCUCGUAGGCGGUGUGUCACGUCGGCCGUGAAAACCUGCAGCUUAACUGUGGGCGUGCGGUCGAUACGGGCAUCACUGGAGUUCGGCAGGGGAGACUGGAAUUCCUGGUGUAGUGGUGAAAUGCGCAGAUAUCAGGAGGAACACCGGUGGCGAAGG